AAAAAAAAGGUUUCGCCUCACGUCGCGGCGAUGACGUCAUCACUCGCGCGCUCGCAACAGCAGCGUCGAGUCUCGUGAGGAGAGCAGUUCGCGGUACUUCACGUGUUUACAUUAUUGUAAAACACUCUUAACCGUUUAUUUAAGCAACAUCCAAAGAGCUCACAAGUACAAGCAUCAGAGCAUCAGGAAGAAGUAAAAUCUGCAGAGACAGAGUUUAUUGAAGGACAGAGAGAACAUGAGAGAUCCAGAACCCUGCAGAAUCAAACACACUGAAGAACAAACAGAUCUGAUCGAGAAGAAACAUGUCAAAACUGGAGAAAAAUCUCUCACAGAGACUGAAAGAGUUUCUUUACUGAAGAGAAGAGACAAAGAAAAGUUUCACCUGCACUCAGUGUGGAAAGAGUUUCACAUUGCAACAGA